UACUUUUCAACUAUAUGGUGAUUCAAAAAACAGAACCCAGGUCAUCUGGAACAUAAUCUAGAGAAAACAUAACGUUUGUGCAAAGCAUCCUAGGAUACUGAAAAAUUGGAUACAAUAAUACGCAAACAGGGAGUUCAGAAAAUUUUGACAUUGCUGAAGAAACUUUGAACAAGAAUUUGUCAAAACUUAAAAUCAAAAAUAGUGCUGCACAGAGUAUGGAACUAAGAUGGACUGUGCCUCAAAAAUGUGCCCAUUACGGUGGUAGAGACUGUGCCAUGGAUGAAGAAUCUGAAUCAGUAGAAGAAAUAGGGUUACCAUCCGUAGGAGGUCUCCACCCUAAGAGUAUCUAUCAUACUAUAAAGCCAUUGUUCCCAAACUUUCAAACGGUGG